rnacentral:rRNA from 1 species
UUAUAUUGAGAGUUUGAUCCUGGCUCAGGAUGAACGCUGGCGGCGUGCUUAACACAUGCAAGUCGAACGGACGGAUUGGAGCUUGCUCCAUGAAGUUAGUGGCGGACGGGUGAGUAACGCGUGGGUAACCUGCCCUAUGCAGGGGGAUAACGUUUGGAAACGAACGCUAAUACCGCAUAACCUAGUUGGUUCGCAUGAACCGGCUAGCAAAGAUUUUAUCGGCAUAGGAUGGACCCGCGUUGGAUUAGCUAGUUGGUGAGAUAACAGCCCACCAAGGCAACGAUCCAUAGCCGGCCUGAGAGGGUGAACGGCCACACUGGGA